AGAUUGAACGCUGGCGGCAUGCUUUACACAUGCAAGUCGAACGGUAACAGGCCGCAAGGUGCUGACGAGUGGCGAACGGGUGAGUAAUGUAUCGGAACGUGCCCAGUCGUGGGGGGAUAACGCAGCGAAAGCUGCGCUAAUACCGCAUACGAUCUAUGGAUGAAAGCGGGGGACCGUAAGGCCUCGCGCGAUUGGAGCGGCCGAUAUCAGAUUAGGUAGUUGGUGGGGUAAAGGCUCACCAAGCCAACGAUCUGUAGCUGGUCUGAGAGGACGACCAGCCACACUGGGACUGAGACACGGCCCAGACUCCGUACGGGAGGCAGUCAGUGGGGUAAUUUGGACAAGUGGGACGAAAGCCUAGAUCCAGCAAUGCCGCGUGCAGGAAGAGUCCGUUACGGUUGUAACGUGU
rnacentral:rRNA from 1 species